UCAACGCUGCAUCAGUGCAGGUAGGGGAUUGAGCUCGAGCUAGCUCGAAUAAAGGCUCUUUUGCUUGUACAUCGGACUCGGCUCCCUGGCGGUAUUUGCGGAUCACGAAUUCUGGGCAUAACACACAUGACAUGAGUAUUAAUUUAUUCUCAAUACCAGCUAGCUCUGGUUCUUUAAUUACCUUUUUCUGUCAUGGAAGAUUGAUGAGGGAGCAUGGGGCAAGUUGAGGGCAAAAUACAAGUUAGCACACGCCCCCGCCCCAGGUGGGAUAUGUGUGAUUCUGGCUGCUCCAGGACAAAGGAAAGGAAAGAAAACAAAUGGUUAACUGAUAGAGAUCUCAGUCGGGCAAGACAGGAGUUUCCAUCAGUUUACAAAUAUCUUAGUAAACUACAAGAAAAAGGCCAUCUUUUUCUCCUUUUUCCAGUAUGAAAGAUUCUUGGGGACAGUCCCUGUCUAUUCUUUGUACCCCCAGUACUUAGUACAUUGUCGACAUAGAGUGCGCGUGGAAAGGAUUGUUUUUCAAUGAAUUCAUUCAUUCUUAUCAACGGAUUCCACCCUAUUUUGUCCUGUAUUGCCUACAUAACUAUGAAAUUCAGAUUCUUAGAAGAGACUCUUGGUGUCAUAAGAUGCUUAGUAGAGGUGGUGAGUUUUAAGACAUUGUAUUGACACCACUAAAACCUCUUGGUGGCGAAACUCAAUGAGCCCGUUCUCUGGCAUGCUGGCAAAACAAAAAACUGACCCUCAGUAUUCUUUCCCCAAGUCAGGCAUCAGCAAAUUAAUGAGAGGAGAGAGGAGGCCCCUGCUCUUGGGCACCCGCAGGAACUUACUCCAGCUCCAGACACACCGUAAACACUUUCAUCUAACGGAAGAUAAGCUGUGAAAUCGGAUUUCUGAACCACAAGACAGUAAGACAGUCUUUUCCAGCGUCUGCUUUAGAGGAGGGUCUUCAACCUUGAGUCUAAACAUCCCCCUCAGGCCACUGAACAUGCCCAGUAUGAUUUGCCUUUUUACAGAGAAAUCACAGAAUGUUCCGGCUGAAAGGGAAUAACACACUUCUUACUUGAAGAGUGGUCAGGAAAGAAAGCACAUGGAGAGCAGUGCCCUGUGGCAGGUAUUCAGGAGUUCUUCCUGCUUUCCUGAUGGCUGAGGAAGCACCCACACCUGUUGCUGCCUGGAGAACUCUGUGCUAAACUUAGUUCUUCGAAGUUCUCUUUUGCAUAGGAAACUUGCACAUGAGCCGGAAUCAAAGUUAAAUUCAAAAGUGGAUUUCAAGGACCAUGCACACCUUGGGGAAGCAUCACUGUCACGAAUUCCCAUGAUAAUACUGACUUGGGUGUUACUUGCUUGGGGCUUUCACUGCCCACACAAAGCUGGGUACGAGGGAGGGCAGAGAGUGCCAUUUAGGAGUUAAGACAAGUCUCUUGGCCUCUUUGUACCUUAGUUUCCUCAUUUGAAAAAAAAAAUGGAUUUUAAGACCUACUUUCCAGAAUUCAUACUGGGUUUAUUAACACACACCUAACCAGUCACUGUAUGAUAUUUUUACAUGUAGUUUUUUUUUUUUUUUACAUGUAUUCAUUUUCUAUUUCACUUACAGCUUGUGUAAAAACUGCAUUCCAUGCCAGGCCUGAAAUGUUCCAAAGCUCAGUUCGCUAUCGGCAUCCCAGGUGGUGCAAUUAAUAAAGAGCUAGCGGGGGGCCACUGGCACAAACAAGGCAGCUCCUUAGAACCUGAACUUCCUAUUUGUUCCAUUCUUUGGGUAGAUAACGCCUGUUAAUUACUCUGGAGGUAAGUAUUUUUUUCCCCCAAAUCCCUUAUGUGUCUAAAAUGGUUCCUUCCACAAAUCAAUGAGAAAAUAAGAAUUCAACGAAAAAAAUGGUAAAAAAUGUACCAUUAUCAGCAAACAAAUGUAAAGAAGCCCUCUACUGAAACCUCUCUAGGUGUUAGAAGGAUAAGGGCAGUUAGAAAUUAGAAUAACUAACAUGGAAAGAUUUCUUAGACAUAUUGCAUAGGGAAAAGCAACAAAUCACUGGGCAAGGAAUUAAAAAGUAUCCCCCCAUUAGGAAAUUAGGAAAAAAUGCAAAGGAAAGAGAUGGGAAGGACGGACACACACCAAAAAGGUGACCGGAGUUAUCUUAUGAGUGGUAGGGAGGGGGGGGUGGUGGGAUUUUCACGUUUUAUCCUCUAUACCUGUGACAUUAAAAACAAAAAAAAGUAUCCAUGAUAAUUCAUGUAUCCAUGAAUUACACAUGUUUAAAAGAAGCUAUUAAAUGCCUGAGGUUCAGUUUCAACCGCUACCUCUGCGUAUGACUUUGAACCUUUACCUGUAGUUUUGUCCUCUUCCCUCAGCAACAGCUUACCUGGUCAGUUUAUAUACACAUUUUUUUCAGGGGAGUCAGGAAUAAAUUCAAAACAGAUACCCAUCUGCCCAUGUGCCUGGUGGACAUUUCCAGUCAACCUGAAGCCUUCUGGUUGCUCUAUGUGCCCUGGUAAAAGAUGCCUCAACUUCCAUCAUUCUCCUUAUCUGGGACAGAAGUUUCAGAGUAAUAUCUGAGUUUUCUCUUUCCCGUGCACACCCCACCCGCGACUGUCAUCAGUUAGUCUAUUUUGUCACUUCCUCCUCUGCAGUGCUCUCAAGGCUUUUCUUUCUACUCUUUUCAGCCACUCUGAUUCGGCCCCUUGUUACUUGACUCCCAGGUUUUGUUAGAACAUUCUAUCUGGUCUCGCUGGAUCAAGCUCUCCUCUCCAGACCGCCCUACAUGGGGAACUGAAAAUAAUCCUCUUGUUUCAAUGGUCUGUAUCUCAUGCUUGAAAACUUUCAAUGGCUCUCUAUAACUCAGAAUGUAACGUUCAAACCUCUCUAGCUGAUAGUCAAGGUUUCUCGUAAUUGGAUCUUUAACUGCUAAACCUAAUUCUUGACUCCUGAUCAUUCCUGCAGCCGUGCCUUUGCCUAGACUUAUACCCAUUUUUUCUCUACUUAACACAUCAGAGCCACUCUUUAAGUCUCAGCUAAAGUGUUAGCUUAUCCAUGCAGCUCUCCCUGACCUCCAUACUCCACUGAUUACAGAGUCUGCUGAAUUCCAACACCCAUGGUACCUCUUUUAGUACUUAGUUACAUGCCACCUCCCUUUUUAUGACCAUUUCCUUUCUUCCCACCUGUCAUUUCAUGUUCUGAAGACGAUUGCAUCCUCGUGUGGCGCCCAUAGUACUUACUCUUGGGUUGGGCCCAAACUGAGUACUGUAUGUGGAAGGCCGGGGGUCAAAGAUGAGGUCUGGGGAAUCAAAAUAAUAACAGCUAACACUCAUAUUUUGCCAGGCACUGAUCCAAGUGCUUCAUAUGUAUUACCUCAUCUAGAUCUCACAAUAAUCCCAUGAGAUGGUAACUAUCAUAAUUUCCAUUUCACAGAAAAGGAAACUGAGUCACAAAGCUACUAGAUGACAGACCUCGGCCCAAAUGCAGGCAAUCUAGUUCCAGAAUCUCUACUCUUCACUACUCUGUUGUAUCCUAUUAUAGAGGAUGGAGCAAAAAUGGGAGAGUAGAGGUUAAGGAAUGAAAUAAUGGGGCUAAAGAUUGGAUAAG